rnacentral:rRNA from 1 species
GAUGCCCUUAGAUGUUCUGGGCCGCACGCGCGCUACACUGAUGAAUUCAACGAGCCUACAACCUUGGCCGAAAGGUCUGGGUAAUCUUUGAAAUUUCAUCGUGAUGGGGAUAGAUUAUUGCAAUUAUUAAUCUUCAACGAGGAAUGCCUAGUAAGCGCGAGUCAUCAGCUCGCGUUGAUUACGUCCCUGCCCUUUGUACACACCGCCCGUCGCUACUACCGAUUGAAUGAUUUAGUGAGGUCUUCGGACUGG